GAGCCAGUCAGGUGUCAUCUUGUUUUGGCAAUGAGCCAAUCAGAUCACAGUAGGAUUCAGUUAUUGAUGUCAUGUAUUGAAACUGAGAGGAGGACAUUUGUCAGUGUGUUAUGUGAUUGCUAUCAAGUUGGUUAGGCUUUUUUUGUGUUCUUUCAUUUAGUGAGCUUGUAAAAUGUAAUAAAAUUAAAGAAUUGACUGGUCACCCAGAAAGCGAUGUCAAAUAGUAUUAUUAAGUGAAUAAGGCUACAGUUAUAAAGAAAUUAGAAGAAAAAUUCAACCAAAGACUUGGAAUUUGUUUAAAGACUAUGAGACUGUUUUUCUACUAUAAAAGUUCCUCUUAGCUAUAUUCCUAUAAUUGCUUUCUGGUUACUCCUACUCUGAGACUGUAUCAAAAAGUGAAGCAGGGGUAUCAGAGAAAUCGAUUUCCUUCCAGAGCCUCACAGAAUGACAUGACAAAUAGAACAAGUGCAGCUCCUUGAAACAAGGUGCUGUUUCUUAGCUGGAUGUCCCAUAAUGGCUGCCAAGAUCUCCUGGGAGAAAUGCAAUCCUCAAUCUUGAGAAGAUUGAAUAUCAUUUGUUAGCUGAAUUACUCUUCUAGGAAUGCAAAUAAAUAUUUUGGACC